rnacentral:lncRNA from 1 species
CGUACAUCGGUGAAACUACAUAGAUCGUUGUAGCUUAUUAAUAAACGUAUAUAAUUAUGCUUGCUUCAAUUUAUUAUUUCCUAUUUAAAUCCGCAGAACAACGACCACCUUCGAGAGUAAUAAUUAAAUUUUUAAAAUAAAUUCACGUGUUUUUUCAUUACGAAAUUUGCAAAGAAUAUCGAACUUCACAUAUCUUAUUUUGAAUUCCAACAGAUCUUAUCAUGUAUAUAUAUAUAUGUAUGUAUUAUCGUUUCAACGAAAGCUCUUCGGUAAGUGUGCACAUACACAAGCACACGUGCAUCUCAUUUAUUUGUUCAAUGUGCUUUUAUCGUAUCGUAUAUUAGUGUUAUGCAAUUUUAAAUGGUAAAUCCGAAUCGCAUUCCGUUGCAUUUCAUUCGUAUAUUAUUAUUUAUUGAUAACGGUCAUUUUUUAUUGUCUAUCAAUUAUUCUUACACGCGAACAGUAAAAACAGAUCAGAACAAUUUUUAAUUUAUAUAAAUAAGUUGCAUUCUAUAUAAUGUUGUUCUUUAAAAAGUUUCACCGCAAUUUCGAUUAAUCUCGUUAAACCUUGAGAUUCAUCCGCAUUAUUUAUUUCCCGAUCUCGCUGGUUAAUCAAUAUUUUUUUUUAGUUGAUAUUAUUUUACUAAUCGUAAACAGUAUACCGUAUAGAAAACUAUAAUUGAACAGAAUGGAGAUCGUAUAUAUUUAAAUAAAAUAACGUAACAAAAAAUAUAUAAAAUUGUGCAUGUAAAACUUACUGAGAAAAAGUAAGAAACUUUUUAGAACCUAAUACGAACGUUUGAACAUUUAAUAACGGACCCUACUUAACCCAGAUAUUAAUACAUUUUCAUUUUCAGGUGAAAUAAUAGUUACUUAUUAUUUUUAAACACGAAAGUCCAUAUUUUAUGAUAUAUUUUCACUUAAUUUAUAUAAUAUCUAUAAAUCGGCACGAAUUAUUUGAGCAACCUAAUAUAUUAUAUAUAUUUGUGAUAGAAAAUGUCAAUAUUCCAGGUGGAAAAGAGGAAAGAUAGAUAGAUAGAUAAUAAAUAACGUAUUUUCAUCCUGUUCUUACCCUUUUAACUUGCAUCGAUCGCAAAACAUAGAACAGCAGCGCCCCGUUGCCUUUUUCCCGUUCUUCGUUCCAGUUCGACCUUUUAGCAAGAUAGAUUUUGUUUGUUGGCCAUGGUUUGUCCUCGUGAAACGAAGAGCAUUUUGAGCACAUCGAAACAAUGUAAAAAAAAGAAAACAAAAAAAAACAAGAUUUCUCUAAACAUAUGUCCUAUUUGACUUUAUAUUCGAGCUUACAGUGAACUUUUUUGUCACAAUAAUUCAUUCGUUAGAUGGAUGGUGGAGGAGUGUUGUCUCUUCGUGAAA